rnacentral:rRNA from 1 species
GAGUUGAUCAUGGCGUCAGGAUGAACGCUAGCGGCAGGCUUAACACGAUGCAAGUCGAGGGGCAGCGGGAUGUAGCAAUACAGUUGCCGGCGACCGGCGGAUGGGUGCGUAACGCGUAUGCAACCUACCUUAUACAGGGGGAAUAACCUUUCGAAAGGGAGACUAACACCCCAUAGUAUUGAUUUAAGGCAUCUUAGAUUAAUUAAAUAUUUAUAGGUAUAAGAUGGGCAUGCGUAUGAUUAGCUAGUUGGUAAGGUAACGGCUUACCAAGGCGACGAUCGAUUAGGGGUUCCUGAGAGGAAGGUCCCCCACACUGGUACUGAGACACGGACCAGACUCCUACGGGAGGCAGCAGUGAGGAAUAUUGGUCAAUGGGCGCAAGCCUGAACCAGCCAUGCCGCGUGCAGGAAGACGGCCUUAUGGGUUGUAAACUGCUUUUACAUAAGACUAACCGUAUAUUUGCGAAUAUACCUGAAUGUAUUAUGAGAAUAAGGAUCGGCUAACUCCGUGCCAGCCGCCGC